rnacentral:tmRNA from 4 species
GGGGGCGCAAGGCCUCGAUAGAUCAUUAAGAGUACAGGAGACCAGGCCGAGGACGUACGGUCACCUCGUAAAUCAUCCGACAAAAAAAUAAGUGCAAACUUAUCUACAUGGCAAAAAGCUUUUGCUGCCUUCAACGGUCGCAUCGGCUUUGCGCCGGCUUUUGCCUAACAAGGCAUAGCUCCAUCCCGCUUUUCAUUUGAAAAAAUGAAGCGGGACAUCGUCCUCACUGGCGCCUGACCGGGGAGUACACGGUGUUAUACAUUCGGGCUUGGCCGCGCGUGUUUCCGAACUUCGCGGCGACAUCUUUCGGAAGAGCACAAAGGUUUUCCUCCCGGCUACCAUCCUUUAUGCUCUAAAAAAUUCAGCCGGGAUAUGUCUGUACCAUCUCUUGCACCGUAUGAUCUACACGUGGGUUCAAUUCCCACCGUCUCCACAU